rnacentral:tRNA from 1 species
GGUGUAUAGCUCAGUGGUAGAGCACUUGCCUAGCAUGCAUAAGGCCCUGGGUUUGAUUCUCAGCACCG